UGGGGAAUAUUGGACAAUGGGCGAAAGCCUGAUCCAGCCAUGCCGCGUGUGUGAAGAAGGUCUUCGGAUUGUAAAGCACUUUAAGUUGGGAGGAAGGGCAUUAACCUAAUACGUUAGUGUUUUGACGUUACCGACAGAAUAAGCACCGGCUAACUCUGUGCCAGCAGCCGCGGUAAUACAGAGGGUGCAAGCGUUAAUCGGAAUUACUGGGCGUAAAGCGCGCGUAGGUGGUUUGUUAAGUUGGAUGUGAAAUCCCCGGGCUCAACCUGGGAACUGCAUUCAAAACUGACUGACUAGAGUAUGGUAGAGGGUGGUGGAAUUUCCUGUGUAGCGGUGAAAUGAGUAGAUAUAGGAAGGAACACCAGUGGCGAAGGCGACCACCUGGACUAAUACUGACACUGAGGUGCGAAAGCGUGGGGAGCAAACA
rnacentral:rRNA from 1 species